CCAGCAUGAUCAUAUUCUCUGGCAAGAGUACUUUUCCUGAUUUAUAGCCAGCCCCUUCUCACUAUGUCCUCACUUAAUGAAAGGGGCUAAGGAUCACUCAGAAACCUCUUUAGUAAAGGCACUAAUCUCAUUCUUUAGUGUGCCGCCCUCAUGAUGUGAUCACCUUCCCAACCUUCCGCCUCCUCACACUAUCAUCCUUGAGGGCUAAGAUUUCAGCAUAUAAAUCUUGAAGAAAAGAAGCAUUCGGUCCAUAGACCCAUCAGCUCUGAAAUAAGGAACUCUUCAUACACUGCAUGUAACCAACGCAAGUGAUGCAAAACAAUCACCAGUUCAGAGACCCGAUACGAGCAAUAUAUAAGAAGACCUUUCCUUCCUUUUUCCUGGUGAUUUAUUUUAUGAAUAAAUUGCUUUUCUUUAAAGGUCA